rnacentral:rRNA from 1 species
GGGGAAUAUUGCACAAUGGGCGAAAGCCUGAUGCAGCGACGCCGCGUGCGGGAUGAAGGCCUUCGGGUUGUAAACCGCUUUUAAUUGGGAGCAAGCGAGAGUGAGUGUACCUUUUGAAUAAGCACCGGCUAACUACGUGCCAGCAGCCGCGGUAAUACGUAGGGUGCAAGCGUUAUCCGGAAUUAUUGGGCGUAAAGAGCUCGUAGGCGGUUUGUCACGCCUGGUGUGAAAGUCCAUCGCUUAACGGUGGAUCUGCGCCGGGUACGGGCAGGCUAGAGUGCAGUAGGGGAGAUUGGAAUUCCCGGUGUAACGGUGGAAUGUGUAGAUAUCGGGAAGAACACCAAUGGCGAAGGCAGAUCUCUGGGCUGUUACUGACGCUGAGGAGCGAAAAGCAUGGGGAGCGAACAGGAUUAGAUACCCUGGUAGUCCAUGCCGUAAAACGGUGGAUGCUGGAUGUGGGACCCUUCCACGGGUUCCGUGUCGGAGCUAACGCGUUAAGCA